UGAAAUCUUGGGAAGAAGGCA
rnacentral:miRNA from 1 species